AUUAUUGAGAGAGAGAGAGAGAGAGAGAGACAGAGCGAGCUCGUGAGUUGAAGAGGGGCAGAGAGAGAGGGAGGUUGAGAAUCUCCAGCAGGUUCCAUGCCCAGGGAGGAGACUGAUGUGAGGCUUGAUCUCAUGACCUCGGGAUCGUGACUUGAGCCAAAAUCGAGAGUCGGAUGCUUCACCGACUGAGUCAGCCAUAUGCCCCUUCUUUUAAUUUCUUAAAGGUUUUUCUCUGAGACAUUUUGCCUGAAUCUUAAGUUUUUUGCAGAUAUUUUGUUGUGUUGCUCUUGAAAAAAAAUCUCUUGAAGGAUAUGCCUUUUUCCUCUCCACCUGAUUCUAUUUGUAUAUCUAAGUAUUGCUGUCAUCCAGUAUGUUAGUUGUGUACCGGGCUAUGUUAAUGAACUCGUUGUUUGUAGUUGUUUUGGCCAGAAAGCCUUUAACCAAUUAAUUAAUUAAUUAAUUAAAUGCUUAUUUAUUUAUUUUGAGAGAGAAAGCCCACACGAGCAGGGAAGGCAGAGAGAGAAUCCCAGACGGGUCCCAUGCUGUCAGUGCAGAGCCUGACCCGGGGCUCAAUCCCAUAAACUGUGAGGUCAUGACCGGGGCUGAAAUCAAGGGUCGGACGCUUAACCGACUGAGCCACCCAGGUGCUCCAGGAAGACUUUAAUUUAAAGAAUAACAAUGUGGUUUGGGAAAUUAUCCCAAAUGGAUAUUUCAGCAAUGACAAGAAGGCAGCCACCAGGGGGUUUGGGGAAGUUCAUGGCUGGGGUGGGAGGGCUGAAGAGUGUACCUCCUGAGAUUUACUGAACUGCCUUCAGUAGAGUGGAAUUGGGGGGCGGAAUCCAAUUUCGGAAGCUUCAUUUUGGACCGAGAUUUAGAAGGUGUAACAGCUGAGCCAGUUCCGUGGAGAAAAAUCUGUGCUGAACUUGCAUGUGGCCGUGUUCCUUCGAGCCCCAGAGCACAGAAGGAAAAUGCCCAAGACCGACGGCAGUGAGGAGCAAGUUCUUGCUGGCUCCCAAACCCAGAGAACUGCGGGGACACUGGCCACCUAGGGUCGUGGGUCCUUAGUUUUCGGGGACACUCACCAGAACCCAUCGGUGGAAGGAUCUCAGAACACAGAGGAGGGAAUAGAGAUCCAGCACUCCUCUGCUCCCUUGGAGACGGAAGGCAGAUGGAAUUAACAGGUGACCUAUGACCCCGUGAGGGACAUUACCACUCUCUGUUCUGUCUCGGUUGGGGUCUAAGGCAGACCCAGCCCCGACACCCUGAUGCCUUUGGGGUCUCCCAUAUAGUUUAUCCAGACAAGGACUUGGAGCUCGGGAGCCUUUUAGGGAACAAAGUUUAGCUUCCUCUUCACCUCACUCACCCCAGGUAAGAGGAGGGGUAGGAGCUGUUAGUAAAUCCUGUGCAUUAUGCUUGGUGCUGUCUGUAUGCCAUUGUAUUCACUCUCCGACAUAGUCCUCUGAAGCAUGCUCUCUGCUUCAAGGGCGAAAGAAGGAAGGGCCAGAGGGGCGGUUAGCUUGCCUAAGGCCAUUCAGCAGGCAAGUGGUCGAUGCAGGGUCCAGGGAGCAGAACAGAAGCAGAGCCCUACCUCCUGCCCCCACCCCCUCCCCCCUUGCUUUAAUAAAAGCAGCUCGGCCUUCACCUACUUGGCUCCCAUUACAUUUUGGUUUGAAGGAUGAAUUCUACCGUGAAAGAGCCUGUGUUCUCCAGACAGGUCCAUUCUGUUGUUUCUCAUCUCCCGCCAUUUUGAAUUAGCGGCACCUCCCCACCCCUAGCCCUGCCCCCACCCUACCCCUGCUACUGCUGCCGCCUCUGCUAGUGGAUCUGAGGGGUCCCAGCCCACUCUCUCUCUCUCUCUCAAAAAUAAGUAAAGAUUAAAAAAAAAUUUAGAAAAAAAAAAUAAAAUUGGGUUGAAUGCAAGGUUGAUGGGUGGAGCCAGUGCCAUUAUUCUGAUCACCGUUACUAAUAAACAUUAUACGGAAUUAAAUGAUCAGCCUAGGUCCAACACCAUCCUUGAGCAAACUCAAAGUUGUGAGACAGGGAAAAUGGCCAUCUAGAGAGAGGAGGUCAUUCGUUCUACAUUCCUUGCAAAGAUAAAGGCAGAUCUUUGUUCUGCUGUGUUCUACUCUUCCCGGUGGUUGCGAGUGGUUACAGCGUGUGAGGACCGUGUGUCCCGGGCAGAAUUCCCUGGCAGGAUGGCUGUAUUUCGUGAUCAGCACCUGGGCUGUGUGUGGGCAGGCAGGUGUGCUCAGAACCAGGGGUCCUCGCACGGCACCCUGUACUCUUGUCGUGGACCAGGGGAUGCAAGGACCUUCCAUCAGGCUUGAUGAGAACAAGCUCAAACUUCUGGGGGCAGUGGUGCCACUAAAUGGCCAAUGCAAUAUCAUCUGUGGCCCAGAGCUGGGGAAGAGGUGUAUUCUAUUAACAAACACCUAGAUAUCGGUGUAAGCAUUUUACAAAUACUCAUUUACCUAAUCUUCAUAUGGAUUAGGGUUCUCACUUUAUUAUUCCUGUUUCCAUACAAGAAAACGAGGCACGGAGUUCAGUAAUCAGAACGAGGCCACACAGCCAAUCUGCCGCAGGGCUGGAAUGGGGGUCCGGGCUCGUUCAGAUCCUGAGGCUAACAUGCACUCACUGUUCAUGAAGCAUCUCUCACGUGCCCUGGGCCUGGAGGUGGAGAUCAGAAUCCAAUCUGACAUGCCCCUUCCUUCUAGUAGCUUAGAGUCAGUGAGGAGCUUACAUUUUGAAAGAAGCUUUGCCCUAUAAGUUUCUCUGCCCCAUCUCUGACGCUUCAUUCCUCUGUACGUCAACCUGGCUCAGCGACAAGGAUUACAAAUACUAAAGGGAUGUGAUGGUUAAUUUUACGUAUGAACCAGGAUAGGCUAUGGUACCCCAAUACUAGUUUAGAUGUCACUGUGACGGUAUUUUUUAGGUACAAAUAACAUUUAAAUCAGUAGAGUUUGAAGAAGGCAGAUGGCCCUUCGUAACAUGGGUGGGCCUCAUCUAAUCAGUUGAAGGCCUUAAGAGAGAAAGACCCGAGGUUCCCAAGGAAGAAGGAUUUCUACCUCAAGACUUGAGACUGCAAAAGUAACUCUUCACUGGGUCUUCAGUUUGCCAGUCUGCCCUGCAGAUUUCAGACCUGCCAGCAAUCAUGUGAGCCAGUUCCUUAAAAUAAAUCCUUUUCUCUCUCUCUCCACACACCCUGUUGGUCUGUUCCUCUGGAGAACCCUGACUUAUACAAGGGAAAAAUUGUAUUUAUGAGCUUCAGUAAUGAACUUCUUCGGCGGCAAAUGGCUUCUGUUAAAUAGGGGGCCAGAAUGCAAGUGAAGGUGUCUGAGAACUAUAGAAUCCUCUGCAGAAUUUUUUUUUUUAAGGUUUUAAUUUAUUUUUGAGAGAGAGAGAGACAGUACAAGUGGGGGAGGGGCAGAGAGAUUGGGAGACAGAAUCCGAGACAGACUCCAGGCCCUGAGCUGUCAGCACAGAGCCCGACACGGGGCUUGGAGCUCGUGAACCGUGAGAUCACGACCUGAGCCAAAGUCAUACGCUUAACCGACCGAGCCACCCAAGAGCCCCCUCUGCAGAAUUUCUGCAAAGCAGAUACCUCUUCUAUGAUCCUUAUGGCGUGUGAGUAAUGACUUCAAUCUGAGAAUUCAGAAAUUCUGAUCCUGGUCCUGAGCUUGGAUCUCUACAUACCGGCGGUUGGUAGGUUGGAAAGGAAAACCACAUCUCCAGGCACGAGGCACCUCCUUCCAGCAGGAGGCUUGUCCAUCCUACCGUGUGCCACUGCUUCGAAGGUACGACAGAAAACAUCUACCUCAUGCCAGGGUCUGGGCUGGAUGCGCGUGACGGUUCUUGCGACGGCUCUGAAUGGUGGGUAUAGUGCUUCCAAUUCGCUAUUUGCAGGGAACCGUUUUCUGACGUGUCACGGCCAGGAGUUGGCAGGUACCCACUUUCAGGUGCAGCGACGGUGUCCCCACCUGCAGGGAUGGUGAGCGCAUCCAAUCGCGGGGCUCUGAUCAGGUGAGAAGUCCAAUGAAACCCAAACUUGUCCUCUGGACAAGGCUGCUCCGUGAAAUAGAGCUGCCCCUCAGUGAGUCUGGCUGUCUCUCCGGGCGCCUCGCCAAGCCUCAGAAGCACCUUAACUUGAAGCCCUGCUGAUUCAAAGCACCGCCUUCUGUUCUGGGCAAGCCUUGGCCAGGAAAAGUCAGGUAGGGACCCAUUCGUGAAGCAAGCCUACCACGUGAGACUGCAGCUGGGCUCCCGGAGUUCGUGGAGAGGAGUAUGUUGAGUAGAGUUGAAAUGGACCAGUUGUUCCCAGCUGCAUCUCAGCUGUGUUGGUGCUAGAGUCAGGGUGUGGGGCUGCCUUGGGGCCACUCGCCACCCACAGUGUUGUUUCUUUGGGAAAAUGCACUCCCAAGUAUCUUUGUUAGUUAGUGGGUUGACUGGCCGAUUAAUUGAUGGAUUCAUUCAUUCAUUCGGUCAGUCACUGCCUGCCCUACGCCAGAAAGUAACCAGGGAUGCCAUGGCUGUUCUUUUGAUAUGAACAGCAACAGUGUGGAAUGCCUGGGUGCGGGGAAGGGGAGGAGCCUGCUCCAGCCAUCCAUUUCCAUAUGUCAUAUCAGGAAUCAAGAAGCAAAGGGCUAAGGGCAGGGGCGAUUCCUCAUCUGCGUGCCAUGUGAUGUGGGCUGGUCAUCCAAAAACCAUGUCUUCCCACGUCAGAGAAAAGUUGGGUUUCCCUGACCCAGUUGGAUGAACCUGUGAGCCACUUUGAGGGCAGGGCUGUGUCUCAGGUAUUUUGGUAUCCUCAGAUGCCUCCCACAGAGGGAGGGCCGACCAGGUCAGUCAAUACGCGCCUGAUACAGUGAAACCAACUUCGGCUGUCCCAAAGGCCUUUCUUUUGUUGGAUUCUAAGUGGUUAAGAAAGUCUUGGCUUGGAUAGAGUCUUGGCUGUCACUGGGGUUUUGUGAUUGUGUGUUUGAGGGAUAUGCGUUCCAAUGGAUGGAGAGCUUUCCAAAGCACAAGUGAUUCCUAUGGGAAGGGCUCGAUCCCUGUACCCCACCUUGGCCUAGACAAGUCUGAGAGGCUGGAGAGGGAGGCCAAUUAUGGUCUUUGGGAAAUUCUUAAGGUCAGCACCAACCCGCUGUGUGAGAAAAGGUAGGAUUUCCAACAAGAUGUCUGCUUAGGCUGUGGUGUUGACAGUUCAGGCAUGCGGGUGACAGUAAAGAGAAGGCUACUCACUCUUGUCCUCUUCCAACAACUUCUGCUAUCCAUGGUGGCCUCGCAUUCAUCUCUCUUGUCUCAGAAGAACUUCCGGGGCUGAUGACACCUAGCACUUCUAGAAGGAUCUUGUCAAGUAAUCUCAUCAUACAUGUAAUUCAUUUUGGCCAAGCUAGCUAGGGCGAUCAGCACCCUUACGUCAGAGUCACUCUGUUCUAAUUAUCUUGUCAAAGGGACUUCUUUGCUUCCCCUCUCAGAUGCCUCUAUCUUUGUCAAACCUUAGUGACAAAACUUGGGCCAUAGGCUCAGGUGUGGUCUUCCAAGCACAGGGGACAGAGGGAACAGGCGGGCUUCUACUUACCCAGAGUCCCUUUGUGAAGGCAAGGGCACUCAAUUUUGUUGGUCAUUAUAACAAAAAUGAUGUUAGCUAGCAUUCAUGGCCCGACAUGGUGCUGAACACUUUCCACGCAUUAUCCCACGGGAUUCUCCCAGUACCUCAACAAGAGACUCUGUUUUCCUGCCAUCUUUACCGAUGAAGGAAACUGAGGUUUCAAGAAGUUCAGGGAGCACACCUGAGGUCCUGUCUCAGGUCAGGCUCCCAGAAGCAGACCCCGAGAUGAGGACUCACAGGCAGGGGAUGUGUUAGGGAAGUGAUUCCUGGAGAAAUCUGCUGAGAGAGCAGCUGGACCGGGAAGCGAGCCAAGCAGGGGCCAUCUCCGAGAAGUCCCUGGGCUGAUGGGUUCCACCUAAUCCCACGGGCUGGGCUGGGUUCGUGGGUGUGCACCCUGUGCCCUUGUGGGGCCCCGUGCUCAGGAGGGCCCUGUGCUUGGGUUGACGCUCUGCUGUUGCUGUCUUGAAAUUCUUAACAACUUUGGAAAAGGGGACUUGCAUUUUCAUCUUGCACCGCGCCCUGCAGACUCUGCCCACGGGAUUUCUGAAGUGCGGGCCCCUCGGGGCUGCUCCCCCUGGAGGCCUGGGGAUGCGGGCUUUAAUCCUGUCAUCAGCCAUUGGUCAUUGGGUAAGGGCUGCUCCUUAACCGUUCCCACGUUUUCCUGGUUCCUUCUGUAGGCAGGCAAAGCUGUCUAAUGGCCUAUGGGCAAUGCUCUGAAAAACAGCCGCAGGUAGUGGCUGUUGGAACUGGAAGCAUCCCGAAGGGAUGGCAGGAUUCAAACUCAGGGCCACGGUUCUUCAUCACUCUUCCUUUGAGAGGUCACGGGGUGGCUUUGGUUCUGCCGUGAGCCCCCGUGUCCUCCAGCCCCACCUUUCCUUCUCUGUUCCUCCUGCUUCAGGUCAUGGGUAGGAGAGAGAGUGAAAGAAUGGGAAGUGGAGGUUGGCAGUGUGCCAGCUGCUGGGAACGCCGUGAUUUACCUUUCCUGCAGACAACUAUUCUGGUCUGGGUGGGCCACCCGGGAACUCGCAGGGGCCAGGCUGGAACAGCGUCGAUGUGCUAAUUCAGCCUUCCCUUUGCUGGCGCAGUCCUCAAAGUUUUCUACCAAAAUAUCAAAUCUAUGUAGUUUUCUGCUUUGCCAUCUGUGCAUUUUUAUUUUUAUUUAUGUUUAUUUCUUUAUUCUUUUGAGAGAGAGCGAGCAGGGGAGGGGCAGAAGGAGAGAGCAAGAGAAUCUCAGGCAGGCUCCACGCCCAGCACGGACCCCGAUUUGGGGCUCGAUCCCGCGAACCGUGAGAUCAUGACCUGAGCUGAAAUCAAAAACUGGACACUUAACUGAUUGAGCCCCCCAGGCACCCCUCCUGUGCAUUUUUCAAGAUGCAAUUCCUAUGGCUUUGGAUCUUUGUACUAAGCUCCUCACAAUGUGCAUUUUAAAGAGAUUUUCUUUAGCUUAAAAAUGAUAUUUAACAACCCACUUGUCCCUUGGCAGGAUGUGUUUGUGACUGUGUAGACACAUCUCCUCUAUCUCUAUAAGUCUCUGCCUAAAUAGGAUUAGUUUAGCCGGUCUGCCCAGAAUUUUCCCUCCUAUGUUAGGUUGUGGAAGCCUUGACUGCAGAAGCCCUCUUUCAAAUCACAUUCAUGCAGCCAUUCCCAGAAACUUUGGUAGGAAAAAAGGCACGCAGGCAUACAAAAUGAUCCCCGGAAUUGGCUCGCGUUGGCAUGCAUUUGCAGAUGAUGGGCCCUAAGUCCUAAGAGCAGGGACUGCCCUUUUCAAAAAAAAAAAAAAAAAAAAAAUUAUCAUUUCUCCUACAUGCCCAGGGGCUGUAGUGCAAGAGGCACAUUCAGUACAUAUACUAAAUAUAAAUAAGCAGUAAGCAGGAGGGUGAACUUGCUUUCUGAUCGGUGCUACCUGCAAUGUUCUGGAAGUGUUUAGACGUCUCCUGUGUACCUGUACCGCGUUUUGAAAAAAUGUCCUUCUUGGCCCACUGUGCACCAGCUCUUUAAAAGAUCUUGACUUGGAAACUUUGGCUGUUAGUCCCUGGGUUGCCAUCCUCACAAGGGGACCCUGCAUGGGAGAAGGGUGUUAGCCAGGGACUCUUCUAGAAUGCACCACCAGUGAAGUCACCAUCCUUUCUUCCCUUUAUCUCCGUUGUCCUAAGACUUGUUACCUUGUCCUCUUCUCUUCCUCUUAGUAUAUUUGCAGUGUGCUUAUCCUGUAUUUCAAUUAGUCAGAUUCAUUGGCCUGGGAGAGGUGGGGUGCUCCUUCUGAUGGAGGCACACAUCUUAGGCCAACCGGCUAGAGACCAAUAAGCAAACUACUGCCAAACCUUAGUCUUCUUUGAAUGGGAAACCAGCAGAAACAGGUUCUUUUUGUUAUUUCCACAAAACGUACAUCCCCAAAGCACGCAGAGAAGCCCACGCUGGAUCAUAGCAUCAUCGUUUACUCAAGAUGCCGUACAAAAGCCGAAAGAGGAAGGAGUGGACGUUGGGCCAUCAAAGCCAAACGGGAGGAAUCUUCGAAGGAGGAAGAGGCUAAGCAUGGAGGCGGAGGCCGCGAUGAGAAGGUCAUUAUUGGUGUCUUUAGCAAGUCCUGAGCUCAGACAUCCUUGUUUAUGCCUCCGAUGUGCCAGUGACCCCACCUCCUACCAUAGCUUGUCUCGGGAGGGAAAGAAACCGGCCAAGAGAGCCAAUUUCAGAGAGUUCUCUGGGGAAGGAGGGAAUGAGUGAGAAUCAGGCGUGUGUGGGCGCUGGGGAUGCUUAGGUGCAGCCAAUUUGGAGCCCCCUUUCUGAACUCAUCCCACCCACUCCCCAAUUUCUACUCCUUGUGCCAUGCUGUGCAGGAUAGAGGUCCCAUCUGGGAGGGAGUGUCUGGGACUACCGAAGAGUUACAUUAUGGUGCAAGGCUUCCAAAGGACCCUCCACACUCCCCCCUUCCAGCAUGAGGAUGGCUCACUGAAAGGAGCUCAGCAUUUAUACCCAAUUGGGUAAUUUACUAAUGCUUGUUAGUUUCAUAUCCUAGGAAACUUUCACUUGCUACCUCAAUGAGGACAGUCACAGGCCAUUCCCCAAAAAACUAUCCCCAGUGAAAAACUACAGACAUGGCCCCCAGGACCCCAGAACCCAGUAUAGACUUGCAUCCAUCAUUCUCUCUUUCUGUCUCUGUGUCUCUGUCUGUGUCUCUGUCUCUCUCUCUCGUCUGCCACUUCACUGUGGCUCACCGUCUUACUCUCUCCCACCCACAUAACCUCAGAAACUGCAGUUGAAAAGUUUCCAUUUUAAUUCUGAUAUUACGAGCCUAUGUAUUUUGCAACUCUGAAUUUUUAGACCGAGACAUGGUACUUUCUAUUAGACGUCUGAUACUUUUUUUUCCUUUCGCCUAAUGGACCAAGAUGGCUGCAAAUAUGAUACACAGAGUUUAAUUAACUCUGCAUUUCUUCAAAAGUCAGGGUAACUGUGAGAAGCUGUUUUAAUGGGUAGAGCCCACUAUCAUUUAAGGUCAUAAACUUGAGCCUUUGAAAAAAUAAUGAAUCAGAUAGGUUCAUACCAGUACUGCCUUUUAAGGCACCUUCUUAUAUUACCAGAAUCUUCUGAUAAUGAGAGAACUAAACGGGAUGCACCGUGACACUUUUUACAGCAGCCUCUCCUCGUCGUUACCUGUUAUAAGGUCCUUGUCUAAUUCGAAGGAGCAGAGGAGGGACUUCCUCUAGGUUGUAUUGAUUGGCGUUAGUGUGUUUCCAGCUGUCUGAUUUGGACCACUAUCUAGACUUCACCAGUGAUGCCGUGGAGUGUUCCUAUUGAAGAUUUAAGAGAAAUAGUUUUCUUUCCACCAACAUCAGCUCUCUCUAGCCACUGGAUUUUGCACGGCUCCUUGGUGCAUGCAUACAAGUCACCUGGCUUAACAGGUGUUUGCUUUUUGGUGACUUUCUCACUCCUUUCUGGUAAUUUCCCUGACAGAGCUUGGUUUCCCCUUCUCUCCCCAUGUACAAGGGACACGAGCGCUUGUAGUUGAAAAACUCCGUCACAUAUAUUUGCAUGAGUCCUUUUUUGUCUUUCAAGCUACAAGACUUCGAUUUUUCUGCAGAAUGCUUGCUUUGUUUUAAAGAACUUGACCACACAUUGUGUAGGAUGUUGCUUGCUUGCUCCUGAGUGGUACAAGGCCCUCAGGGCCUGCCAACAAGACCAGCUGCAUAAUUCGUAGGGUCCAGUGAAAAACGGGAGGGCAGGCCUCCUUGUUCAGUAUGAUCAAGAAUUCCAGGUUGGUGACCGCCGAGCGCUGGGCCAAGAGCAGUGACCCUGUGCAGAUCACAUCCCUAUGAAGUCUGUCAUUCCUACAGAAGUAACUUUUUACGACUAACCCUGAGUAGGAUCUGUGACAGCCUGAGUUUUUUCCUUUGCUAUGUUUAGCUUGUAAACCGAGUAAGCUCAUCCUGUAUCUCUCAGUGCUUUGAAAAGGUUCCACUGACUUCUGGCUUCCAUCGUCGCUACAGAAAAGUCUAUGUCAAGCUACCCCCCCCCCACCCCCCCAACUCUCUGCUCUUGGAUUUUCCCUUUGGCAAUUUUUCCUUAAACUGUGUCUAGUUUUGUCUAUCUUGCUUUGAACCAGUUUUGCUUCCUGAAAUCUGAUUUCCAUCCUGCCCUAGAAAAUUCUCAGCCCCUGUCUUUAAAAUAUCGCCUCUUGCUCCAGUCUUCCUGGAACUCCAGUGUGAUACCUGCUAGAGCUUCUUGUUCAUCUUCCAUGUCUUCAACUUCUCUUUCAUUUUGAAAAUCUCUUUGUCUCUGUGCGCUGUACUCCAGGUGAUCCCCUUCCAAACCAUUUCCUGGGUCACAAAGCUCUCUUUAGCUGUCUAAGCUGAUCUUUAAAACCCAUUCGUUACGUUUUUGUUUUUAAUGAUGCACAUUUCAUUUCUAGAAGUUAUAUUUGGUCACUUUUCAAAUUUGGUUUUUAAAAUGUUUUCAUGUUUAUUCAUUUUGUGAGAGAGAGAGAGAAAGCAUGCACGUGAGCAGGGGAGGGACAGAGAGAGGGAGACACAGAAUCCGAAGCAGGCUCCAGGCUCUGAGCUGUCAGUGCAGAGCCUGAUUUGGGGCUCAAACCCGUGAACCGUGAGACCAUGACCUGAGCCAAAGUCAGACAUUUAACCGACUGAGCUGCCCAGGUGCCCCUGGGUCUUUUUUUUUUUUUUUUUUUUUUUUAAUUUUAAAUAGAGUCUGAUUAUUUGCUUAUAAUUUUGAUCCUCCCUUUUACAUUUUUAAAUUCAUUUAGGCAUAAUUUAUAGCCUCUUCUGAGAGCUUCAUUAUCUGAUGUUCUUGGGGGUUCCUGAGGUUCAUUACUGCCUGCCGUGUUUGUUGGCUCUGGUUCUUCGUGCUCAUGUCCCUUGAAGCAUUUUGUAGUUUUUGAUUGUGAACUUCCAUUUCAAAGAACGUGCACUAUGGGAAUCUUGUGUGGCCGAGGCUGGGGAUCUGUUUCCAUAGAGAAGUUUCUCAUUUGCUUCAGCAAGUGCCCCUGUGAUAUUACUAGAUUGGGACUCUUUUGAUGCUAUCUAAUCAGCAUGGACUUUCUAGAACAUACAGGUGUGUCAGUUUAAACCCCAAGGCUGCGUGAAGCAUGGCCUGUGGUUCUGAAGCUCAAGGUGACUUUGUUCCCUGCCAGGGCUCCCUCUGCACAGGCAGCCAAAGUGUCCGCACCUGCUCCGGUGUUCAGCCCGCUUUGGCCUCAGGGAUUUCCUUUACUGAUCUCAGCUGUGCUUUUAAAACCGUGUGUGUUAUUUUUGUACAGCAUAUCUAGGUAUUUUGUGGCCGGAGGUUUUUCAGAUUCUCCUCCAUGAUAAUGCCACAAAUGAUAGUUUCUGUCAUUCCGAAUUUCUGAGCCCAGAAAAAGCUUUCUCACCAUGAUUACAUGUUUUGAGAUCUCCCCAAACGUUAGAGACGGAUGGCGGUGAUGGCUGCACAGCAUCGUGAAUGUACUUAAUGCCACCAAAAAAAAAAAAAAAAAAAAAAAAAAAAUGGUGAAGCAGGCCAGGAACCCUGACCGAAUUCAUGGCAAUUCUACUGCACUGAUCAGAAGACAUCCCUUAUUUUUGUGUGCAGCUUUUCAUUUGGAUGGGGUUUUGGUUUUGUUCUGCAGAGAAAACAGCUAACGCACUCUUUGCUAAAAAGGACUAGAGUGCACAAAUGGUUGGAUUUAUUUAGUACCAAAAUGUGAGAUUAAAAAAAAAACAAAAACCCUUAGGAAUUUGAGGACACUGGGAGGGUUGCUCAGCACUGAAAAGAAAGCUGAGGGAGAAAGGCAUCUCAGUUCUCUCCGCCAUCCAUGCUCUCUGGCUUUGAGUAAGGCAAGCAUUGCUUUCUGUUGUUCCUUUCUCUCGCUGUUGGGUUUCUCGCGCCUCAGAGAUCUGCUUUACCAGAAAACGAGAAAGUCUUCGCCCAAGGAAGCAUCAGUGUAGUGAAGUCGAAUUACUGUAAAGGUUUCACGGCUGAGUCAGUGGGAGGGUGGCCAGUGAUCACUUCCUGUCUCACCCAGAGGAGGGAGCUGCCCCGGAAAGGGACGUUGAUGCUGGACCAACUUUAGGUGCCUCCUUUACUUCCUCAGGGACCAGCAGGACACUCUCUUUCUCUGCGUGGAAUGCUCUGAUAUCCAGAUGGGGAAAAUCUAACUCCGUGGACCAGGAAGGAUAAGCCAUUCAUUUGUUCAUCACUCUUACCUCUUAUUAGAGUGAAGUAAGAGCUUUAUGGGAAAUGUAGGCAGGAAACUUUCACUAUGACUACAUAUGAGUAUUUAACAAUUUUUUUUUUUUUUUUGGAUUGAGAAUCUUAAUUACUCUGAAUGCAAAACGCUCAAUAAUGUCCUUUGUCUUUGUUGUUGUUACUGUUCUGUGAACAUGUUUUUAGAAAAAACACGGUGCCGUGACAUGACCUUUGCUGAUGAGGCAAUGCUGGGUCCAUUUGUUCAUUCUUUUUUUUUUUUUCUUUCAAAUAACAUUUGUCCCACAUUAUAUAUUAGGGAUUUGUACUGGUGCUGAGGGGCUCAAAGGAUAAAUAAUAGUCUCUGUCCUCAAGAGUCUCUGUCUGAUGCCUUGUGGAAAGGCCAGCCCACAUACAGAAAGAAAAUGCUAAACAGAACACAAUUCAUCUUCAAAGGAUCUAAUUAAAGAAUCAGAGCGAAUAUUUCCAUAACUUUUUUUAUUGUGAUAAAAUAUACAGAACGCAAAUUUACCACUUUAACCAUUUUUUAAGUGGCAUUAAGGACGUUCCCACCGUGGGCAACCAUCAAAUACCGUCCAUCUCCAGAACUUUCUUAUCUUCCCAACUGAAAGUCUGUCCCCAUGAAACGCUAACUCCCCAUUUCCACCCCUCACCCACCAGCCUCUGGCGGCCACCGGUCUCCUUUCUGUCUCUAUGAAUUUGACUCCUCUCAGGAGCUCGUAGAAGUGGAAUCUUACAGCGUUUGUCGUUUGGGGUCUGGCUUCUCCAUUACUUUUUUUAAUGGAAGGAAAUAUGACUUGCUGAAAAGAAAAUGUCAGCCUUGUCCCUGACUGACUCACCACUUGGCUUGGCCCAGAGUAAGACGGUCAACUUUAGCGUGCUCAGCUCUCCGAUAACGCGACCAUUUUAGUAUCUUUUCUUGAAGACCCCAUCACAGUGUUGUGAUAUUAGUCCAUUCGAGUUGAUCGACAUUAUUAUAGCCUUAAGAGGCUGCCACUCCCUGGAAACAUGUUCCAGCCUCCCCCCCUCAGGGGGUGGUGGAGCGAGGUAAGCAGCUUGCAGGUGGGACCAGCCCCGCUGGCUUCCACGGGCUGCGUGUCUCACAGCAUUCACGUGUGAGCACGUAGCGAGCCCUGCUGGUCCCUGAGCCCGGAGGCCUGCCAGAAACCCAGGCCCCGAGGACUCCCCUCCAGACGUGUGCUCUGAGCCGGGCUGUCUAAACUCUUUCCUCUGGAACCAAUCAGACCCUCGCCGAAGGGGCCAUAUCUCACCGGCUGCUUUUGAGUCACGUGUCAUAUUUGAGAUCUGCCCUGGGUUGGGAGCUGAAACAUUUUGGCUUGUCUCCACUGGAGUCGGGGCAAGGCCUGAAGUCACGAGGAAGGCUGGCUCAGGUUUCCCACUGUGUUUCUGGGGCACGUGGGUAUGCAGCUGAAAUGUUGUACCUUAGGCAGCAAGGGUGGUCUGCUAAGUAGGAGUCGACAUGGCGGCUCAGCUUCUUGGAGUUCAUCUCUUCAUUCCAGCAGAGCAUAAGGUCCACGAGGGCUGAGCUGAUCACCGCCGGAUCCUCAGUGCCUCCCAGGGAGUCUGGAACGAAGUGCGACUGUGUCCUACAAACUGGAGGAGGUAUCUGUUGUCAGGCUAGGGAGUGCGCCAACGUACGGAAAGUUACGUUGUCAGAAACAAGAAAAGGAUACCGCUGCUAAAUGCACUCGUGCUACUUAACCAAGAAAUAUUCCCAAUGAUUGCAGUUCUUUAAACAACUAGAAUGGAGACAAAAAAAUGCUUUUCUUUUUAAAAAAAAAUUUAAUACAGUGUUUUAUCCUAAAAUAACAUUAUUUUUUUUAAAAGUUUUUUUAAAUGUUUAUUUAUUUUUGAGAGAAGGAGAGAGAGACAGAGUGUGAAGGAGGGGCAGAGAGAGAGAGAGAGAGAGAGACAGAAUCCGCAGCGGGCUCCAGGCUCUGAGCUGUCAGCCCGGAGCCUGAAGCGGGGCUCAAACUCAUGAACCGUGAGAUCGUGCCCUGAGCCGAAGCCGGAUGCCCAACCAACUGAGCCACCCGGGUGCCCCCUAAAAUAACAUUAUCGAUUACCUUUCUUCUUACCAGAUUUCACAGAAGCUUCUGGAGGUACCAGUGAAACACUUAGAACUGAAAGAGGAAAUUAAUGACUUGCGUUUUUAGGAUACAAAUAUCCUGGUUUUCUAGGAUGGUUAAACGCUAAUACUGCCGGCGAGAAUGUGAGGCAACGUUGGUGAAGCAACUGCCGUGUAACAUUGUCUUGCGUAGGAUUUUAUUAGAAAAAAAGAAAAGAAAGCUGAGGUCUUGGAAAAUAUUAGAAAAGUAUCUCUCUGCAGGGCUUACCACAUAAGCACGUUGUUCUCAUUCCCCAGUGGCUAUGGUUGGUUUGGACCGGACAGUUCCGCCUUUGUCUCCAGGGUUUGGGCCUCGCUUCUGGUUUUUGACCACCCGCCAGCCAUGCUGUCCUCAUGGAAGUCAUGCAGUGAGAGCUGACGUGGUCUGAGCUGACUCCUCCGGGGCCUUGCACAGAUGAGAGGUCUAUCACCAGCACGCCGCUGUCUCACGGAGGGUGCCGGGAAGCUGUGCGGGCGGGCAGAGCAGUGGCUAACGGAUAGCCCAAGAACUGAGCCUUCCUCUAAGGUACCCCCACCCCCCGGAAGGUCAGCAAAGACCCCUCGAAUGUUUUUUCUCCUUGCUUCUCUCCCCUUAUUUGUGUGGUAUACAUCUCUUUUUAGCUUGCAGGGACCACGCCUAAACAAAGGAGCCAAAGAUAUACCCAAAAUCGAAGCCACAUCCCGUGUUCCCCAAAGAUGAUGGCUUUUCUGUUCCCCGCAGCUCAUUACGAGGGCCCCUCACCGGACAAUGGAUCUCUCUGGGCCACCCAGCCACGCAGGGGAUAAGACAGCUUCUGAAAUACAGAAUAUUUUUGGA